GGGUUUCCGCCCUUCAGUGCCGGAGCUAACGCAUUAAGCACUCCGCCUGGGGAGUACGACCGCAAGGUUGAAACUCAAAGGAAUUGACGGGGGCCCGCACAAGCGGUGGAGCAUGUGGUUUAAUUCGAAGCUACGCGAAGAACCUUACCAGGUCUUGACAUCUUGCGCUAACCUUAGAGAUAAGGCGUUCCCUUCGGGGACGCAAUGACAGGUGGUGCAUGGUCGUCGUCAGCUCGUGUCGUGAGAUGUUGGGUUAAGUCCCGCAACGAGCGCAACCCUUGUUACUAGUUGCCAGCAUUAAGUUGGGCACUCUAGUGAGACUGCCGGUGACAAACCGGAGGAAGGUGGGGACGACGUCAGAUCAUCAUGCCCCUUAUGACCUGGGCUACACACGUGCUACAAUGGACGGUACAACGAGUCGCAAGCUCGCGAGAGUAAGCUAAUCUCUUAAAGCCGUUCUCAGUUCGGACUGUAGGCUGCAACUCGCCUACACGAAGUCGGAAUCGCUAGUAAUCGCGGAUCAGCAUGCCGCGGUGAAUACGUUCCCGGGCCUUGUACACACCGCCCGUCACACCAUGGGAGUUUGUAACGCCCAAAGUCGGUGGCCUAACCA
rnacentral:rRNA from 1 species